UACGGGGGGGGCAAGCGUUGUUCGGAAUUACUGGGCGUAAAGGGCUCGUAGGUGGCCAACUAAGUCAGACGUGAAAUCCCUCGGCUUAACCGGGGAACUGCGUCUGAUACUGGAUGGCUUGAGUUUGGGAGAGGGACGCGGAAUUCCUGGUGUAGCGGUGAAAUGCGUAGAUAUCAGGAGGAACACCGGUGGCGAAGGCGGCUAUCUGGACAGAGUCUGACGCUGAGGCGCGAAAGCUAGGGGAGCAAACAGG
rnacentral:rRNA from 1 species